CGUGUCCACACACAUGUGCUGGCAUGUCUGCACCUGGCUGGUGUGUGCAUAUGGGUGUCCAUACCCACUCAUGACGUGACCUGUGAGUGUCCACGUGUGUGAUUGUAUCUAACUGUGUGUGUGACCGUGUCCAUGUAUGUCCAUCAACAUACGCUCCCCCUCAUUCCCCUGUCUAACCCCAGCCCCCCACCUCGUCCCCAUUUGGCAGCACUGGGGAUAGGGGGCAGGGGUGCAGCCUGGUGGUAUUGCCCGCCUCCUCCUGCCAGGUGACAACCUCGUCAACAAGCCAGACGAGCGCGGCUUCACCCCCCUCAUCUGGGCCUCGGCCUUUGGAGAGAUUGAGACCGUUCGCUUCCUGCUGGAGUGGGGUGCCGACCCCCACAUCCUGGCAAAAGAGCGAGAGAGCGCCCUGUCGCUGGCCA
rnacentral:sRNA from 1 species